rnacentral:rRNA from 1 species
UCGAGAAUCUUCCGCAAUGGGCGAAAGCCUGACGGAGCGACACCGCGUGCAGGACGAAGGCCCUCGGGUUGUAAACUGCUGUCACGCUCUAGGAAUGCCAUGUCGUUAAUAGCGGCAUGGUUGACCAAGGCGAAAGGAAGUGGCGGCUAACUCUGUGCCAGCAGCCGCGGUAAGACAGAGGCCACGAACGUUGUUCGGAAUCACUGGGCAUAAAGCGCACGUAGGCGGCUAGGUCCGUCCAAUGUGAAAGCCCCCGGCUCAACCGGGGAAUUGCAUCGGAUACAGCCUGGCUUGAGGACGGUUGGGGUGAGUGGAACUCCUGGUGGAGCGGUGAAAUGCGUAGAUAUCAGGAGGAACACCGGUGGCGAAAGCGGCUCACUGGACCGUAACUGACGCUGAGGUGCGAAAGCUAGGGGAGCAAACGGGAUUAGAUACCCCCGUAGUCCCUGAGCGGGCUGGCAAGGCGCAU